GACGAACCGUGCGAACAUUAUUCGGAAUCACUGGGCUUAAAGCGCGUGUAGGCGGAUGGGAACGCCGGCCACUGAAAGCCCCCGGCUCAACCGGGGAAGUGGUGCCGAAACGACCCGUCUGGAGGGACGUAGGGGGACCUGGAACUUCCGGUGGAGCGGUGAAAUGCGUUGAGAUCGGAAGGAACGCCCGUGGCGAAAGCGAGGUCCUGGACGUCAUCUGACGCUGAGACGCGAAAGCUAGGGGAGCGAACGGG
rnacentral:rRNA from 1 species